rnacentral:rRNA from 1 species
GUCCACGCCGUAAACGAUGGAUACUAGCUGUUCGGAGCAAUCUGAGUGGCUAAGCGAAAGUGAUAAGUAUCCCACCUGGGGAGUACGUUCGCAAAGAAUGAAACUCAAAGGAAUUGACGGGGGCCCGCACAAGCGGUGGAGCAUGUGGUUUAAUUCGAUGAUACGCGAGGAACCUUACCAAGGCUUAAAUGUAGAUUGACAGGACUGGAAACAGUUUUUUCUCGUACAAUUUACAAGGUGCUGCAUGGUUGUCGU